UCUCCGUAGGUGAACCUGCGGAGGGAUCAUUACAGAGUUCUCGCCCUCGCGGGUAGAUCUCCCACCCACUGUUAUCGUUACUGUGUUGCUUUGGCGGGCCGCCGGGCCCCGCUCGGCCGCCGGCUCCGGCUGGCGCGCGCCCGCCAGAGGCCCAGCAAACUCUGAAUGAUAGUGUCGUCUGAGUACUAUAUAAUAGUUAAAACUUUCAACAACGGAUCUCUUGGUUCUG
rnacentral:misc_RNA from 1 species